ensembl:lncRNA
UCCCUUUGUUACUUUCUGUGCCUUAUCUUGUUUUAAUUGCAACUGCCACGAAGCAUGGAAGGGAAAUAUAUUCCCCACUUAAAAGAUCCACUUUAAUUAUUCGAUGGCUAGGGUGGAAGCAUUCGCGAACUGGACACACCCUGAUCCAUUAAACCAGCUAGGCGAGAAUAAAGCGGGCGACGCCGAAACACUCCUGCUCCUUUCUCUGGCGGGCUCCAGAGGCCUCCUGACCGCCUGCCCGGGAACCCGGGGCACGUGCGUUCUGCCACCAGAACGCGGAGACUUCAGUGCGGGAGCCCCGAGUGACGCACCAUCUGACGUCAGCAGCAGGCGGGGAUUUCCCCCCUGGCUCCUUUGCCUCCCCGACUCCUCUAGAGAAAGGCAAAGACCCUGCCGCAAAGUGGGCGCGACCAUCGAGGGCCCAAGGAGCCAGAGGGAUGAGGGUAGAAGCAAAGUGAUGCUGUUGCCGCUGCCGCCGCCGCCGCCGCCGCCGCCGCUGCUGCUUCCGUAGCUGCUGCUUGCUGAGCCCCACUUCCAAAUGAAGAGCGAUGCCACAGCGUCUGGCCACCACCCUAGAGAUCCGCUUCGGAGACAAAGCCCGUGCGUGAGCGUCUCCCCUCUCUCCUAGUUCUCUCCAGCGGCCCCAGGUACCCAGCACCGGAUGAGACUCCUGUUUGGAGCCCUGAUUCAGCGCUGGUCAUAGACGGGUUCAAGCAUCACCUGCUAACCUGUGCAUCUGCAUUGAUAACUUCUGUACUUCAACUUCUUGUGAUCCACUUGCUCCAGGUCACUGGACCUACCCCAACAACAGUUUCUGAGGAAACAGAAUGAAAGAAGGCAUGUCGAAUAACAGCACAACCAGUAUCUCUCAAGCGCGAAAAGCUGUGGAGCAACUCAAAAUGGAAGCCUGUAUGGACAGGAUAAAGGUCUCCAAGGCUGCAGCAGACCUCCUGGCGUACUGUGAUGCCCACAUCCGAGAAGACCCCCUUAUUAUACCAGUGCCUGCAUCAGAAAACCCCUUCAGAGAGAAAAAGUUCUUUUGUACCAUUCUCUGAGUCCAUUUGUAAUGCAACUGUCCCCUUUUCUGUCUGUGAAAGCCUCCCAUAGAAAUUAUGCAUGCCUUUAGCAUUAGAGGAUAAUAGAGAAUAUGACUCUUCCUGCUGCCUAACUAAAAAUGGCCAGGGUGCUGUGCUUUUUAAAUUUACUUAUUAAAAAAGCAGCGUACCUUUUUACAGCAAAUGAUACAUGUGCCAAGUAGAAUUAAACAUGGGGUUAGGGGUUGGGGUUUUUUUAAUCAUUAUAAAUCCCAAAAUUUAAAUGCAUUAAGUUAAUUCAUUUCAGUGAAUAUAUUUAUUGGAAAUGAGCACUGAUUUUUCAUGGAGGAAGGAAAAUUGCAGCCAGUAAUCAUGAAUAUAUCCAAUUAAAGACCUUUUGACCAAUUAUACCAUUAUGAUGUCCUUUCCUGGAGAGAUACUAAGUCCUAGCUAAUUUAGAGCAUCUCUAUUUCCUACUUUCCCAUCCUCCUCUUUAAGAGUGAAGAGAAAUGAGGAUUGGCUUGUUCUCCCUCAUUUGCACCCUAGGGAGGCUCCAUGCCUUCCUGCACUUAUACACCCUAUGUGGAACGACCUUUGUCUUUCCUGUAGUACUGCCUGCUGUUAGUUGUUCUGUAAAUGCCCCUUCUGCAACUGUGGAAUGUUGAGUGAACACUAUAGUAAAUUUGCCUAUAAAUCCAAGCUGUGAUUCUGCUGUUUUUAUUUUGAAUCGACCUAAUUGCCCAGAGUUCUUUUUCC